GACAGACAUGUAUAAAUUACUUCAUGUACCUAACAAGGCAAAUCUGAAGAGAGAAGGCUGAGAAGUUUAUAAGAAUUAAGAUGAAGGCCUUCACUUAUGUUUUGAUCGUUCUCUUUAUCUUUUCCAUUGGCAUCGGAAAUGAAAGGCUAUUGAAAGUAACAGAGGCACUAUUCUGCAAAAGCACACUCCCUUUUAUAGUUUGUACAUUAAGUCCACCGUGCGAGGCUCUUUGCAAACGUAUAUUUGGAAGUGCAGCAAUUGGAGAUUGCAUUUACAACAAAUGUACUUGUCUAUCCCCUUGUGGCAAUUUGUAGUCCUAAAUCUUUGCAAAUUGCAACAUUUCCCCUUUCAAUAAAUGUGUUUCAAUAAUGGACAAUGAAUGAAAUAUUAUAUCAAAAUGAAGUUUCCGAUUAUAUUUA